UACAGAGGGUGCUAGCGUUGUCCGGAAUCACUGGGCGUAAAGAGCUCGUAGGCGGCUUGUUGCGUCGGUUGUGAAAGCCCGGGGCUUAACCCCGGGUCUGCAGUCGAUACGGGCAGGCUAGAGUGAUGUAGGGGAGACUGGAAUUCUUGGUGUAGCGGUGAAAUGCGUAGAUAUCAAGAGGAACACCUGAGGUGAAGACGGGUUGCUGGGCUGACACUGACGCUGAGGCGCGAAAGCCAGGGGAGCAAACGGG
rnacentral:rRNA from 1 species